AAUAUUGGAGUAAAAAGUUAUGCCCAAUUUACUUCAACAUAUCAGCCUGUCAACUAAGGGACUGUUGCGACCUUUUUUGUUUCCUUAGGGGUAUUUUCGUCUUUUCCUUCAUCUCACCUCAGCCACAACAUGUAAUAAAAUCAGUAUUUGGGCAAAAUACAUCACAAACUAAUCAAUUCCUCUCAAAAAUCCAACCCUAAUCCUUUCCCCAAAGAUUAAGAACUCAUCCCUAAGAUCAAGAAUUCCAGGAAAAGGAACAAGAUCCGGAUUCCAUCUUUCAAACUAAAUUAUCUAAGGAUUCUGAUACAUAGUCCUAGGGUCCCGUUAAGCAGUAGAUUGUCUUGUCACAAGUUCGCAGCUGGUGAGCCUCCCUUAUUUUGGAGGGCCUAAUGUAUAUGUCAUUGUUAUUUUAUUUUGAUUUAGGGUCUGACUGGGGGCCUUGUCCCAUUCUUUAGACAGAGAUUAUUUUCAGUUAGUAGAGAUUUUGCAGACAAGUGUUAGAUGUUGAUCUUUACGAAUUUAUUUCAGUAUUGAGUAGUUUGUAAUAAAAGUUCACCAUGAUUCCGUUGUAAUCAUUUUUCACAUUUUUUCUUUAUUGUA